UCUGGAGAGGAGAGAGACUGGACACACUCU
rnacentral:piRNA from 1 species